AGACUAGUGGAGAGCUGGGCUUCGAGGCGUCAGUGUGAAGGGAAGGCUAAGGACGCAUCGGUGCUGGAGAGUUGAGAAUAUGCCUUCCCCUCCACCCCCAACCCAGUCACCUUAUUUGAAAAAAAAUUAAAAAACACCUUUUAUUUAAAAACCUAACCCUGGAAGUUUGCUCGGAAAAUGGAAAUCAACAUUUGAAACUUUUAAAUGGAAGCUUUAUUGGGGUUCCACAUAUGGAAAACUGCAAAUAGCAGAAGUAUGUGACUCAAUAAAUUAUUCUGGAGUGACCACAUCCUCUAACUGCCUCCCAGGACAAGACGGAGAAUGUGAACAAUGCUCCUGAAGGCCCCUUUCCCUCAAAGAAUCACUGCAAUUGAAGGAAAAAUGCUCCAUGUCCCCUCUGCCAGUUGGUGUUUAUCAAAGGACAACGGAGGAAGAGAGACAAAGUGCCUGGAUGUGUGUGUUAAUCAAGAGUUGUCAGGACCCUGCCUCUAAAAGAAAGCGCUAAAAUGAUGCUUUUGACAAGACUUUUCUCAAAGUGGAUGCAGUCUAAGGGUUGGAAAACAAGGCCCAAUCAGGCUAGGUCUGACUUGUCGCCUGCUUUUGUAAAUAAAGUUUUAUUGGCUCACAGACACA
rnacentral:lncRNA from 10 species